UCUACCCAUCAGAGGGGGAUAACACUUGGAAACAGGUGCUAAUACCGCAUAACAGUUUAUGCCGCAUGGCAUAAGAGUGAAAGGCGCUUUCGGGUGUCGCUGAUGGAUGGACCCGCGGUGCAUUAGCUAGUUGGUGAGGUAACGGCUCACCAAGGCCACGAUGCAUAGCCGACCUGAGAGGGUGAUCGGCCACACUGGGACUGAGACACGGCCCAG
rnacentral:rRNA from 1 species